rnacentral:lncRNA from 1 species
AUGUGUGCAUUUAUUUGUGUUUUAUUCAAAAGGCAGAGACACAGAGAUCUUCCAUCCAGGGCUCCCUCCCAGUGGUUGCCACAGCCAGGGCUGAGCCUGACUGAAGAGAAGCUGGGCACGCAACCCCGGUGUCCACAUGAGGGCAGGGACCCACACCGAGCCCUCAGCGUCUGCUGCCCAGGUGCACAGCCCACACCUGAACUCGGGCUCUGGGACGCAGGCUGCGGGCAGCCAGGUAAUGUCUCGUGCUGCACCCAGCGCCCACCCCACGCCCUCUGUUCUCGUGUGGAACCUCUGGGUUUUCUCAGUCUCUCUUGCUUUCGGAAUGUUCACCCCGUCUGUCUCCCGGCUCUGGCGCCUUCUUACCCUUACCAAACCGGAUGCAGGCACUCUCCCCUCACCUGCCUUCCCGGUCCCUCCCUUCCAGCUCCGGGGUCGUUGCCUCCAACAUCUUUCUCUGGAGGUAAAAUCUCCAAGUGCGUGGCUCUUGCAUUGUCUGGGUGCUUCCUCCUGUCACUGACCUCAGCUGGCACGUGCGUCCUCUCCACCUGGAACAUUCUCACACGUUCCAGCCUGCUGCCCGAGAGCCACACUGCUCACCUCCACCCCCUAAGCCAGGGCUGGGGAACCUGUGUGCCAAGGGUCACUGGGAUAUCUGUAGCAUCAUUCCACACAAAAGUAACUUAAAAAUCAGCCUGCUACGAAUUUAUUGAAUCUUGAGCCCUGCUAACCUGGCCGGCUGCUCCUGACUCCCGUUCACGGAGCCUGAAGCCCGCACGGUACCCUGAAUGUCCCCUAGCAGCUCGUUCCUAAUCGUUGCUAACAGCCCCUGUGCUCAGGUCAGGGUGUAUCCCCUCUCCUCACUGCACCCCCACACCUGUCCCCGCGCCCCGAGAUCAGCGUCUCCCCGAUGACAGGCUUUCUCCUCCACAACCCCUGGGCAAUGUGCAGUUUUCCUUAACACUUCUAUCGUGACGCCAUCUGAAGGGUCAGGAAUUCGACGUCAUUCCCUGUCCGUGACUAGCAGGUCCCCACACACUGCACUCUGGGUAGGAGGUGCUCACAGUGCGCUGGGGCUGCCCGCGGGAACACUGCCCGCUAACAGCGUCCAGAGCCGCCGGGCACACCUGCUGGGCGUCGCUCCGCUGGGGAGGGUCACACGUGUGCGGGGGGCCGGCCGUGUUGCUGCCUCCAGUGACCCGGGAGAGGACCACGUGGUUUUCGCUAUGGGGGCAAAUCUGCUUAGUUUUAGGGGCCCGAGUUUCUGCUUCGUCUCUGUCCCGUGGUUGAGCAAGUCCGACGGGGGCUGCUGCAUUAGGUCCUUAGCACGUUCUCUGGCUACCGUGGCGGGCGUCUUCCUCCCGGUUCCGAGGCCCAGGACGGGCCCUGUCCGUGCGUCUGAGCCACUGGGACUUGCACGCGGUUUUCAGGCGGGCCACCCUGCCGGGCCGCACCAGGUGAGUCUCUGGGGUUGUCUUCACCUCAGGAGCCCCGUCCUGGGGUGCAGGCUCCGUAACGACGCCUUCCGGGGAGCACUCGCGCGUUCCUGGCGUCGGGCGGUCACUCCACCGUGGCCUUCGGCACAGCGCCCAGCGAGAACCCUACAGGGCUCCCGCCCACGCCCACGGAGCCCAGCUCCUCGGUACCGACGGCAGGGAGCGUUCCUCCCACGCGGGGCCCGUCUCUG